AUGGGCCUAGGAAGAUUCAGGAGCCUGACUAAAGUUUGGUCUAGCCAGGAAUCCGGUCUAGUGGGGAAUCUGGCUGAGCUGUCAGUUUUCAACACUUGCAGCGGCUGGCGGAAUGAUGCUUGGGUCCUGGAGGAGAGGAUCUGGAUGGUGUACCUCAGACUCCAUUGCAGUCCACCCCUGUACCUCUUGGACUCUUCUGGUUUGUAUACAGAAGUGAAUGAGGCAAGAAUGGAGGUUUCUGAAGACCCCUGUGGAUUCGCUGCUGCUGACAUACUUUGGUGCCGUGUGCCUUGGAUAGAUUUCCCUAGUGGUAAGGCAACUCUACGCCUUGCCUUCUGCCACUGGAAGUAUUCAACCCCCGUAUGCUGUUUUCUUUUCCCUCUUGCUGUCCUGCUUACUAACCAAUCCCCAGAAUGAUCCCUCUCAGCCACAGUGGCUCUGCUCCCCUCGGCUGAUCUCUCCCCUCACUCUGAUAUAUGGUUCACAGGGGUGGGAAGGACCCUGGAGUCUACACCAAGUAGACCUGAGACACUAUUGGCCCUCCUGGACAGGAGGCUUGUGAGAGUGGUGGGACUAAAGCCUAACACCGUGCAAUGUCUGGAGUUUUCUCUGCCUUUUCAACCAAAAUCAGCUCUUUCCCAAAAACCCACACCACCUAUUUUCCUGUUUUCUCUGUGUGUAUUCUGAAAUGGCCUUACACAACACCCACUGGAUCAUCCCCCUCAGGGUAAGUCUGCCUCUUCUCUGUUUUCACUUUGCAUGCCAUGUGACUUCCUUCUCUGCUGCUAGCUCAUUGCUGGGACAGGCACUAAUUGGAACCCAGGCUCUGCAAGCUCCUUAUGACUUACCAUAUGCUUUUUAUUCCCGUUAUGUCCCAGAGCCCAGUUUGCCAGUGGCUUUUGAAGCAACUUGUCCACUUGUAUAGGGUCUCACUCUGUGGCCCUUUAAGGACCCAGUCUACUUGCUUUUUUUGAGUUAGCACUGCUUUGGGAGGAGGAGAAAUUCUUCCUUGCCAUUUAUGAGUUCUUACCCCCAAGCCCCAAGUCCUCCAGAGGUUUUUCCUUUACGUCAAGAGGACAAAUAAACAUUGCCCUCUGGAAUCCCAGGGCUGCCGUUUUUGUGAGCCCAUGAAGGUUUUCCAUGAGUAUUCCUCUCGCUUCCUCCCACUUCCUCCUGUAGCCUCCAUUUCUCUAAUCACUUCCACACCCUUUUCAAUAUACCUCAAGACCUUCAAGAUCAUAUUCGAAGGGAGGGAAGUCCAGCCUCCUUGCAGCAGUUAGCUGAAAAACAAGCUUCUCAUCUACUUAAAGAACAUGGGAAACAGGUAUCUGAGAAAAGAGAUAAUCAUUUUGUUGCUAGAACACCAAGCAAGAGUCACUAUAAGGUCAUGGAAACUAGAAUAUAGGCCAGCCCGAGGCCACAGGUGCAAGAGACCCAGAGGACAGAGAUGAAGGUUGGUCCCAGGCUAUCAGAUUACCAUUAGAACACAGAUGAAGGCCAGGUUAGGGGCACAUAGUAAGACCAGUUUAUUCCAGAACCCCAAGGAUGAAUGGGGAUGGGUCCUGUUCACUCCGGUAUCUCCUUUGUUCUAAAGUGGGUAAUUGUGAUGAGAUGGGAGGUUAAGGGUAUAUAGUAAGACCAGUUCAUUCCAGAACCCUAGGGAUGAAUGGGCAAUGCCUGAUUCAGGAUAACAGGAAAAUAAGAAGGAAUGCCUUCUUUUUCCUUUUUUUUCUCCUCUAUUCUCUCUUCGCAGAUGGGUAAUCAUGUCUCCAUACCACAGGACAUGCCCCUCAGAUGCAUCUUUCCCAAGAACUGGGAAAAGUUUAAUCCCCCAUGCCUUAAAAUCAAAACCUAGUGAUAUAGGAGUUAAAAAGAAAUUGCUUAGGCAGUUAGUGAGGAUAAGAGAGUCCUCAGUAAGGUUUCCCUUUUAAUGAAAAGCAGCCCCCAAAUCAUUUCUUUUCUAACAAAGAGCAGUCUGGAAAAUCGAGCUGUAGACAUAGAUAAGCAAGUGGAAGCUUGCACAGGUAAAUGCCAGCAGCUGUAACAAUAGGAAAAGGCUACCUGGGGGCCAGGUAUGUUCAACAUGAAGGUUCCCUCUUCCCUUUUCUUUGUCUCCAUGUGCGCAGUAAAAAAAACAGGCAACAUGGCACCGCCAGGUAGAGACACCAUCUACAUAAUGAAAGAUUAGGGUGGGAUGGCCAGCCUCUUUGCACAAUAUAAAGGGCACACCUGGUCUAACCAAUCUCUUGUGCCCCAUGUGAAUCAAUUCCUCGAGCUCAUCUAUAAAACCCCAUGCAUUUCACCGCGAAACUGGAAGACUCACUCCAGAGCCCCUCUUUCUCUGCAGGAGAGAGAGCUUUUCUCUUACCUAUUAAACCUUUGCUCUUAAACUCACUUCUGUUUGUUCAUGUCCUAGAUUUCUUUGACUUGAGACGAUGAACCUCGGGUAGAAAAGAAACAAAAUCUGUGUGAAAAUAUUUGCUAAAAUUAAAGUGAUAUUAUUCAGUUUAUCCACAAAUUACAUAUUGAAAUAAAAAUACAUGAUUUCCUUACAGCAGUGUUCUGCUCUUUUUUUUUUUUUUUUUUUUUUUUUUGGAUACAGAGUCUCUCUCUGUCACCCAGGCUGGAGUGCAGUGGCACGAUCUCGGCUCACUACAAGUUCCACCUCCCAGGUUCAUGCCAUUCUCCUGCCUCAGCCUCCCAAGUAGCUGGGACUACAGGCACCCACCAUUGCACCUGGCUAAUCUUUUGUAUUUUUAGUAGAGAUGGGGUUUCACCAUGGUCUCCAUCUCUUGACCUUGUGAUCUGCCUGCCUCGGCCUCCCAAAGUGCUGGGAUUAUAGAUGUGAGCUACCGUGCCUGGUCAGCACUGUUCUGCUUUUUAACAGAAAAUUGUGAAGGGUUAUAAAAGGUUUAUGAGAAUCUUACCUUAUGGUCAAACUGAUUAAGAUUGAAUAGAUUUGUCUAUAAGGUUUUACUAAGAACUGGGUUUGACAUUAAUAGUAUGCUGAUGCAAAGGUAAAAUCCGGCUUUCUUUGGGUAUUUGUAUAAAUGCGUUAUGGGUAUGUAUUCCAAAAUUAUUCAAAACUCCUAUAACUCUGAUAUGACUUAGUAUAUGUUAGCAGUAAUAAUUCUUAUGUUAAAUUAUUGUGUAUAAUUCUUAUGUUAAAUUAUGUUAACUAAUUACCACUGAGGUAACAAAUUUCCUUGUUAAUUGUGUCUUUGACUAUGGCUCCCCUAAGACAUUUUGUCAUCUACAGACAAUUGUUGCCAUGUUUUGAU
ensembl:lncRNA